rnacentral:rRNA from 1 species
UAAAUUAAAAUCUAUUAAUAGUAAUUAUCACGAAGUUGGAGGAGCUAGUUAAUAUAUAUUUGUAGAUAACACGAUGUUGCAAAAUUAAGAAAAUUAUAACUAGGGGUGAUAGGCUUAUCACUUUCAACGAUAACUUGAUGACCAAGAAAUGUACUAGUACGAAGACACCCUUGAAGUGAUAAGGUUUCAAGGCCGAACAAAUUAGGAUUUCCCUUAUGUAUCUUAUUUAACCAUAAAUACAAUUGGUACUUAAUAUAAAUUUACUGUAUUUGUUAUAAUUAUUGGUUUAUUGAUGAAUUGGCUAUAAUAUUAAUAAUGUUUAUAUUAGUAACAAAUAAUUAUUAAUAAUGAACUCGGCAAAAAACCUUUCAACUGUUUAUCAAAAACAUAGCUAUAUGAUUAAAUAUAUAGUAUUUUCUGCUCCAUGAGUUUUAAAUAGCCGCAGUACCCUGACUGUGCUAAGGUAGCGCAAUCAAUUGUCUCUUAAUUAGAGUCCUGUAUGAAAGAAAUUAUGGAGGGUUCCUUUCUCAUUAAUAAUUUAUGAAUUUACUAAAGAAGUGCAAAUUCUUCUAAAUAAAUAAAAGACGAGAAGACCCUAGAAAUUUUAGAGAAUUAACUUUUUGUUGGGGCAACAGAGUAGUAAUUAAUCUACUAGAACAACACGAAAUAUUUAUUUAGGAAGAUUAAAUUACUCUAGGGAUAACAGCAUAAUUUAAAAUAGUUUGUGACCUCGAUGUUGGAUUAGGGAAUUAACAUUCAGAAG